rnacentral:rRNA from 1 species
CAGGUGCUGCAUGGCUGUCGUCAGCUCGUGUCGUGAGAUGUUGGGUUAAGUCCCGCAACGAGCGCAACCCUUGUCAUUAUUUGCUACAUUUAGUUGGGCACUCUAAUGAAACUGCCGGUGACAAACCGGAGGAAGGUGGGGAUGACGUCAAGUCCUCAUGGCCCUUAUGGGUAGGGCUUCACACGUCAUACAAUGGUACAUACAGAGGGCCGCCAACCCGCGAGGGGGAGCUAAUCCCAAAAAAUGUAUCGUAUUCCGGAUCGCAGUCUGCAACUCCACUGCGUGAAGUUGGAAUCGCUA